rnacentral:rRNA from 1 species
AUAUAUCAACAAUGAAUAUCUACUACUCUUGUUACAAUGAAGAACAUAUUGAAAUGCAAUACUUGGUGUGAAUUGCAUAAUCUCGUGAAUCAUUAAGUUUUUUAAUGCAAUAUAUGCUUAAGGCCUCAAUCGACAACAUGUGGUGAUCUUGUCCCCUUGGUUGGGAAAGUGAAU